ensembl:lncRNA
UUUCCCCCCCUUUUUUUUUACAUUUUUCGUGAUUUUUUCCCCUUUUUUAUUUUGAUUUCCCCCCCCCAUUUCCCCCCAAUUUUUAUUCUUUUUUCUCAUUUUCUGACCCAUUUUUCCCCUUUUCUCUCCCCUCCCCCCGGAAGCGCCUCUUCGCCGCUUUUGGGUGAAAAAAACCCCAAAAAGGGGAACCGAAAAUGCCGAAAAUUCAAAUUUCGCUGCUCGGGGGCGGCCAAAACCUCCGAAUUUCACCUGAAAAAUCCGAAUUUCAGCCCAAAACCUCCGAAUUUCAGCCCAAAAAUCUGAACUCGGCGCCGGAACAGGAUUUGGGGUUCGGCGCCGCCAUGGCCCAGCCGGGGCCCUACGGGAACUGGAUCGGCCCCGGGCGGCUCCAGCGGCAGCCGGGAAUUUACUCCGUGGCCGGGAGGAUUUCCCCAGUGGGCGACUUCAGACCCGGCGUUUAUCUCCUGGCGGGGCCUCCCCAGGAGGAUCCCGAAGAUUCCCAACGGAAAUUUGGGAAUUCCGAGCCCGAAUCCGGGAAUUCUGACCGGAAAUCCGGGAAUGGGGACCGGAAAUCCGGGAACUCGGACCGGAAAUCCGGGCAGCGGGACCGGAAGUGCGGGCCAUGGGCAAUGGCGGCCGCCAUGGCGCUGCUGGGCCUGGCCUGGGGGGGGCUCCUGGCGGCGGCCGUGGGGAAACACCAGGCGCUGUGGGCGGAGCUGGAGCUGCUGAAAUCGAAUUUUUCGGCUGUUCUGGAUUCCCUGCAGCAGGAGCAGACCCGGCUCCAUUUCGGGAUCCGGCAGCACCAACUGGAGCAGGAGGAGCAGGCCGCUUUUCCUGGUGCAGAACAGCAACCGCAGCAGCUCCUACUGGCUGGGGGUGACGGACGCGGAGCAGGAGGGGAAAUGGCGCUGGGUCAACGGCGAGGAGCCGCAGAUCGGGUUUUGGGACGUGUGGCUGCAGGAGGAGCAGCAGGAGCUGAAGGAUUGCGGCGCCCUGGGGCCCAAAGGGCGCUGGGUGAGCGCGGCCUGUGCGGAGCCGCUGCGCUGGGUCUGCGAGAGGCCCGGACACUGCUGAAAUUCCCUUUUUUUCACCCAAAAAUUCCCCCCAAAAUGAAAAAAAAACUCCCUAAAAAUCCCUCAAAAAUUCCGCAAAAAACCCGGCAAAAAUCCCCCAAAAAUCCCUCAAAAAAUACUGUUUUUAUUAAAGAAUUUGUGCCAAAAAAUCUGAAUUUUUUUUAAGGAUUUGUGUCAAAAAUCCCGCAAAAAAUGCCGAUUUUAUUCAGGGUUUUUUAUUGCUAAAAAAUCCAAUUUUUAAAAGGAUUUUCAGCCAAAAAUCCCCAAAAAAUCCCCAAGAAAUCCCCCCAAAAAUCCCCCCCAAAAAAUCACAAAAAUAUCCCUUAAAAAAUCCCCAAAAAUUACCAAAAAAUACCAAAUAAACUCAAAAAAAAUCCACAAAAAUCCAAAAAACAUCCCAAAACAUCCCCUAAAAAUCCCCCAAAAAUACCAAAACCCCAAAAAAAAUCCCCCCAAAAUCCCAAAAAUACCCCAAAAAUACCUCCAAAAAAUCUAAAAAUUACCUUAAAAAAUCCCCCCCCAAAAUACUAAAAAAUCAAAAAAAAAUCCCGAAAGAAUCCCCAAAGAUCCCCAAAAAUCCCCAAAAAAAUCACCAAAAAAUCCCCAAAAAACUCAAAAAAUCGCAAAAAAAUCCCUCCAAAAAUCAAAAAAAAAUCCCCCCCAAAAAAAUCCAAAAAAAUCCCCAAAUAAUCCCUUAAAAAAAAAUCACAAAAAAAUUCCCAAAACUCAAAAAAAUCCUAAAAAAAAUCCCAAAAAAUCCCCCAAAAUCCCCCAAAAAUUCCGAUUUUUAAAGGGAUUUUUUCCAAAAAUCACAAAUAACGCCAAAAACGUCCAAAAAUCCCAAAUCCUCCUAAAUUAACCCCAAAUCCACCCAAAAAAUACAAAUCGCUCCUCAAAAAAUACCCAAAAUAUCUCAAAUCAUGCCAAGUCUUCUGAAAAUGACCCCAAAAAUGUCGAAAAACCCCAAAUCCCUCCCCAAAAACCCCAAAUCCACCCAAAAUAACCCCAAAAAUCCCUAAAUCCACCCAAAAUAACCCAAAAACCACCCAAAAGACCCCAAAAGAUCCCAAAAAUCCUCAAAUCACUCCCAAAAAAACCCCAAAUCAAGCCAAAAUGACCCAAAUCCACUCAAAAUAACCCCAAAUCCCCAAAUCGAGCCCAAAACCCCCCCAAAAUCCCCAAAUCCUCCCCAAAUCCACCCAAAAUAACCCCAAAUCCACCCAAAAUAACCCCAAAAAUCCCCAAAUCAACCCAAAAUAACCCAAAAACCACCCAAAAGACCCCAAAAGGUCCCAAAAAUCCUCAAAUCCCUCCCAAAAAAACCCAAAUCAAGCCAAAAUGACCCAAAUCCUCCCCAAAUAACCCCAAAACCGCCCCAAAAAAUCCAAAUCCCUCCCAAAAAAAACCACCAAGAGAUCCCAAAAAACCCCAAAUCCUCCCAAAUUAACCCGAAAACAGCAGGAAACGUGAGGGGAAAUGGCGGGAAACUGAGGAGAAAAUGGCGGGAAACUGGGGGGGAAAAGGCGGGAAACGUGACGGAGAAAAGGGCGGGAAAUGUGAGGAGGGAAAAUGGCCGGAAAAGUGAGGGGAAAAUGGCGGGAAUUGUGAGGGGAAAGGGUGGGAAAUGUGAGGGGAAAAUGGCGGAAAACGUGAGGGGGGGAAAAGAUGGGAAAUUUGAGGGGGGAAAGGGUGGGAAACUGAGGAGAAAAUGAUGGGAAAAGUGAGGAGAAAAUGGCGGGAAAUGUGAGGAGAAAAGGGUGGGAAACGUGACAGGGAAAAGGGUGGGAAAUGUGAGGAGAAAAGGGCGGGAAAUGUGAGGGAGAAAAUGGUGGAAAAAGUGAGGGGAAAGGGCGGGAAAAGUGAGGGGGAAAUGGCAGAAAAUGGGAGGGGGAAAAUGGCGGGAAAUGUGAGGGGGAAAAGGUGGAAAAAGUGAGGGGAAAGGACGGGAAAUGUGAAGGGAAAAUGGUGGGAAAUGUGAGGGGGAAAGAUGGGAAAUAUGAGGGGGAAAAGUGAGGGGAAUGUGAGGGGGAAAAUGGCGGGAAAUGUGAGGAGAAAAUGGCGGGAAGUGUGAGGGGAAAAUGGUGGGAAAUGUGAGGGGAAAGGGUGGGAAAAGUGAGGAGAAAAUGGCAGAAAUGGGAGGGGGAAAUGGCGGGAAAAGUGAGGGGAAAAUGGCGGGAAAUGUGAGGGAAAAUGGCGGGAAAUGUGAGGGGAAAAUGGCAGGAAAUGUGAGGGGAAAAGGGCAGGAAAUGUGAGGGGAAAGGGUGGGAAAAUUGAGGAGAAAAUGGCAGAAAAUGGGAGGGGGAAAUGGCAGGAAAUGUCAGGGGAAAAUGGUGGGAAAUGUGAGGGGAAAGGGCGGGAAAUGUGAGGGGAAAAUGGCGGGAAAUGCGAGGGAAAAUGGCGGGAAAUGUGAGGGGAAAAGGGUGGGAAACGUGAGGGGAAAGGGCGGGAAAACUGAGGGGAAAAGGCGGGAAAUGUGAGGGGAAAAAUGGCGGAAAAUGUGAGGGGAAAAUGGCGGGAAACAUGAGGGGGAAAAGAUGGGAAAUAUGAGGGGGGAAAGGGAUGGAAAUGUGAGGGGGAAAAUGGCGGUAAAUGUGAGGGGAAAAGGCGGGAAAUUUGAGGGGGAAAGGGGUGGGAAACUGAGGAGAAAAUGGUGGGAAAAGUGAGGGGGAAAAGGCGGGAAAUGCGAGGAAAAAUGGCGGGAAAUGUGAGGAGAAAAGGGUGGGAAACGUGACAGGGAAAAGGGUGGGAAAUG